CAGACAUUUGAAGAACCUUAAUGGGAUUUCAAGUUUAUUUUCUUCUAAUGGAGAAGAGAAAAAGAAGCUGAAGUGUCUAACGCUACCAGGAAGUGCCCAUCCACAAACGUGAAGUAAUAAGGAAAAGGAAAACAUGGGAAACAGAUUGCCCUGGGGAAUAGAGUGAUUUCCAGGAAGCUUGAAGACAAACGUGUGGUCCACCCAUUGCACGUACCUAAGCUGCCAUGUAUGCAUUUUUGUACUAGACUCUUCUCCAGUACGUUUAUAUCCCUAUU